rnacentral:rRNA from 1 species
AACGAACGCUGGCGGCAUGCCUAACACAUGCAAGUCGAACGAGAUCUUCGGGUCUAGUGGCGCACGGGUGCGUAACGCGUGGGAAUCUGCCCUUUGGUUCGGAAUAACAGUUGGAAACGACUGCUAAUACCGGAUGAUGACGAAAGUCCAAAGAUUUAUCGCCAGAGGAUGAGCCCGCGUAGGAUUAGCUAGUUGGUGUGGUAAAGGCGCACCAAGGCGACGAUCCUUAGCUGGUCUGAGAGGAUGAUCAGCCACACUGGGACUGAGACACGGCCGAGAGUCCUACGGGAGGCAGCAGUGGGGAAUAUUGGACAAUGGGCGAAAGCCUGAUCCAGCAAUGCCGCGUGAGUGAUGAAGGCCUUAGGGUUGUAAAGCUCUUUUACCCGGGAUGAUAAUGACAGUACCGGGAGAAUAAGCUCCGGCUAACUCCGUGCCAGCAGCCGCCGCGG